rnacentral:rRNA from 1 species
CCUACGGGAUGCAGCAGUGGGGAAUUUUGGACAAUAGGCGCAAGCCUGAUCCAGCCAUGCCGCGUGCAGGAUGAAGGCCUUCGGGUUGUAAACUGCUUUUGUACGGAACGAAAAGACUCCUUCUAAUAAAGGGGGUCCAUGACGGUACCGUAAGAAUAAGCACCGGCUAACUACGUGCCAGCAGCCGCGGUAAUACGUAGGGUGCGAGCGUUAAUCGGAAUUACUGGGCGUAAAGCGUGCGCAGGCGGUUAUGUAAGACAGAUGUGAAAUCCCCGGGCUCAACCUGGGAACUGCAUUUGUGACUGCAUAGCUAGAGUACGGCAGAGGGGGAUGGAAUUCCGCGUGUAGCAGUGAAAUGCGUAGAUAUGCGGAGGAACACCGAUGGCGAAGGCAAUCCCCUGGGCCUGUACUGACGCUCAUGCGCGAAAGCGUGGGGAGCAAACAGGAUUAGAUACCCUUGUAGUC